GACGAACGCUGGCGGCGUGCCUAAUACAUGCAAGUUGAGCGCUGAAGGUUGGUACUUGUACCGACUGGAUGAGCAGCGAACGGGUGAGUAACGCGUGGGGAAUCUGCCUUUGAGCGGGGGACAACAUUUGGAAACGAAUGCUAAUACCGCAUAAAAACUUUAAACACAAGUUUUAAGUUUGAAAGAUGCAAUUGCAUCACUCAAAGAUGAUCCCGCGUUGUAUUAGCUAGUUGGUGAGGUAAAGGCUCACCAAGGAGAUGAUACAUAGCCGACCUGAGAGGGGGAUCGGCCACAUUGGGACUGAGACACGGCCCAAACUCCUACGGGAGGCAGCAGUAGGGAAUCUUCGGCAAGGGACGAAAGUCUGACCGAGCAACGCCGCGUGAGUGAAGAAGGUUUUCGGAUCGUAAAACUCUGUUGGUAGAGAAGAACGUUGGUGAGAGUGGAAAGCUCAUCAAGUGACGGUAACUCCCCAGAAAGGGACGGCAAACUACG
rnacentral:rRNA from 1 species